CUCUCCAGCUGCUGGCCAUCUUUUUAUUGUUUGGUCAGACGGGUCGCAUCCUGCCAACAGGAUAAAUGCCCUGGCACUGUGGUUUUCAGUAACACGUGGGAAACCCAGGACCACAGACUCCAAUAACGAGAGUCUAUCAAACCCCAGGACCACAGACUCCAGUAACAUGAAUUGUAUCAGCACCAUGGUGUGCAACAACGCAAUGUGCACCAACAUGUAUAUAUCUCAGCACUAUGGUGACCAGAAACAUGUGUGUACCAACAUGGUGUACAUGCAGUAACAUACAUGUGCACCAAGACCAGUAUCCAAGAAUACAUGCAUUGGCACCACAAUGGCCAACAUAUGUGCUCCAACGCCAUGAUUCCCUAAACUGCACCAUCACCACAGGGCCCAACAUGUAUGCGUCGGUAGCUGCACAGACACACCUGUAUGUACCGUAAGACCACAGCUUCCAACAACAUCCACCCGCACUGAACAAUCCAACUACAGACAUGUGUGUACCAGGAUGCCGUUGCAACAGUGUCUAUGUUGGGUUCAGCACUGAACUAAAGGUCAAGACACAAAAUGUCAGAUGUCCCAGGAUUUGUCCUCAGAACUCCUGGCCUGGAAGGUUUCUUUCCUCACCUUCCAUCUGCCGCACAGAGACAGGCCUAUGUCUUUCUAGCAAGCCCUCGAGCAGCCUAGGCUUCCUUGGGGCAAACGCCUGAGGUGUCAUGGCCCGUGAGUGGGUCUGGCUUGUUAUGUGCACUCCCGUAGAGGUCCAUCGGGUCCACGCUGUGACAAACACUGCUGAUGUCAUUCCAUCUUCAAAGCCAGAACCAAGGGAAAAGGUGACAGUGUCUGCCUCCCUGUCCUUUCGACAGAGCAUCCUGGAGCGCCUCAAUGUUCUAAGCACCUUCUUGGAAGCACACAUGGUAAGGGCAGACUCCAUUCUCCUGGUGACUGAGAUGCAGCACUGCCAUCUCCUUGUCUCACACUAAGGAAUCUGCACGUAGGGAACAGAUGGGACAGGGAUGUAGAAGACAAAGCAGCAGCUCCUUGCUUGGAGCCACAGGGUGCCAGAAGCACGGGGCCUGAUGACACCACCUCACUCUGGCUGCAGGUGCAGACUUGAGCCGUCUUCCUCAGAGUCUUCAAGCUUUCUUUUGAGUCACCUUGGGUAAUGGUCAACAUGGAUUAUGAACUUGGCAGGGUCUAGAGUUAUCUGGGUGACAGGCCUCUGGGCUUCUUUGAGGGAGUUUCUAGACUGGGCUAACUAAGGUAGGAAGACCCCCCCAACUGUGGGGAGCACUGUUCUAUGAGCUGGGGUCCUGGACUGAGCUCAGCAGCUGUACCCACCGCUCCCUGCUUUCUGACAGAAGCAAUUCGACCCUCCUGACACUGUGACUUCCCCAUGUUGGAGGGAUGGCACCCUCAGCUGUGAGACAAAGUAAACCCUUUUCUUCAUUAAGUUGACUUUCCUCAGGUAUUUUGUUACAGUUACCAAAAAAGGUAACUAAUGUAACUGGAAUUUCCGGAAUAGCACCAGCUCACAGGACAGGCCCAGCACCCAGUGUCUCAAGCCAUCACCUUGAGAGAACCACCCUGUCCCCUCAAAGGUGAAGAGUUCUGAAGACCACCUUGUGAACCCAAGCCCUCACUAGACCACAAGACCAGGGCUCCUUAGUUGUGCAUACCUCGUGUCCCUAUCCCACCCUUACUGUUUAAACCUAAACCUCAUAUCUGAAUCCCCCAAACAGAUGAAGGGUCACUAAAUCUCAUGUCAGUACACCAAGGACAGAUAAAGGGUGGCUGGACCCCUUACAUCCAAGGUGGCCAUUAUUAUUCAUCUCUUUAAUGGGCAUUUUUAGGUGGGUGGCUGAGACAAGCUUGUUGGGAUGCAAUAGCCUGGCUUUUUUUUUUAAUGGUAUUUAUUUUAUGUGUA